rnacentral:rRNA from 1 species
UUAAAAAGCUCGUAGUUGGAUUUCUGGUGGGAGCGGCCGGUCCGCCGUAAGGUGUGUACUUGGUUGUCUCCUGUCAUCCUUGUGGGAACUGCUCUGGCAUUAAGUUGUCGGGGUUAGGGAACACAUCGUUUACUGUGAAAAAAUUAGAGUGUUUAAAGCAGGCUUAUGCCGUUGAAUACAUUAGCAUGGAAUAAUAAGAUAGGACUUUGGCGUCUAUUUUGUUGGUUUGCACACCAAGGUAAUGAUUAAUAGGGAUAGUUGGGGGUAUUCGUAUUUAAUUGUCAGAGGUGAAAUUCUUGGAUUUAUGAAAGACGAACUUCUGCGAAAGCAUUUACCAAAGAUGUCUUCAUUAAUCAAGAACGAAAGUUAGGGGAUCGAAGAUGAUUGGAUACCAUCGUAGUCUUAACCAUAAACUAUGCCGACUAGGGAUUGGCGGUCGUUCAUUUAUGACUCCGCCAGCACCUUAUGAGAAAUCAAAGUCUUUGGGUUCCGGGGGGAGUAUGGUCNCAAGGCUGAAACUUAA